CCUACGGGUGGCUGCAGUGAGGAAUAUUGGUCAAUGGACGAGAGUCUGAACCAGCCAAGUAGCGUGAAGGAUGACUGCCCUAUGGGUUGUAAACUUCUUUUAUAUGGGACUAAAAUGUUCCACGUGUGGGAUUUUGUAUGUCCCAUAUUAAUAAGGAUCGGCUAACUCCGUGCCAGCAGCCGCGGUAAUACGGAGGAUCCGAGCGUUAUCCUGAUUUAUUUUGUUUAAAGGGAGCGUAGGUGGAUUGUUAAGUCAGUUGUGAAAGUUUGCGGCGCAACCGUAAAAUUGCAGUUGAAACUGGCAGUCUUGAGUACAGUAGAGGUGGGCGGAAUUCGUGGUGUAGCGGUGAAAUGCUUAGAUAUCACGAAGAACUCCGAUUGCGAAGGCAGUUCACUGGACUGCAACUGACACUGAGGCUCGAAAGUGUGGGUAUCAAACAGGAUUAGAUACCCCUGUAGUC
rnacentral:rRNA from 1 species